rnacentral:rRNA from 1 species
AGUGAACGCUGGCGGUAGGCCUAACACAUGCAAGUCGAACGGCAGCACAGUAAGAGCUUGCUCUUACGGGUGGCGAGUGGCGGACGGGUGAGGAAUACAUCGGAAUCUACUUUUUCGUGGGGGAUAACGUAGGGAAACUUACGCUAAUACCGCAUACGACCUACGGGUGAAAGCAGGGGAUCUUCGGACCUUGCGCGAUUGAAUGAGCCGAUGUCGGAUUAGCUAGUUGGCGGGGUAAAGGCCCACCAAGGCGACGAUCCGUAGCUGGUCUGAGAGGAUGAUCAGCCACACUGGAACUGAGACACGGUCCAGACUCCUACGGGAGGCAGCAGUGGGGAAUAUUGGAGAAUGGGCGCAAGCCUGAUCCAGCCAUACCGCGUUGGUGAAGAAGGCCUUCGGGUUGUAAAGCCCUUUUGUUGGGAAAGAAAAGCAGCAGGUUAAAACCCCGCUGUUCUGACGGUACCCAAAGAAUAAGCACCGGCUAACUUCGUG